AGGACGAACGCUGGCGGCGUGCUUAACACAUGCAAGUCGAACGAAGCAGCAAUGCUUAGUGGCGGACGGGUGAGUAACGCGUAGGUAACCUGCUUUAUAGUGGGGGAUACCCAGCCGAAAGGUUGGCUAAUACCGCAUAAGCUCGACUCUUGGAAUAGAGUUGAGGAAAGAUUUAUUGCUAUAAGAGGGGCCUGCGUUCGAUUAGCUAGUUGGUGAGGUAAUGGCUCACCAAGGCGACGAUCGAUAGCUGGUCUGAGAGGACGAUCAGCCACACUGGAACUGAGACACGGUCCAGACUCCUACGGGAGGCAGCAGUGGGGAAUUUUCCGCAAUGGGCGAAAGCCUGACGGAGCAACGCCGCGUGGAUGAUGAAGUCUUUCGGGACGUAAAAUCCUUUCAGCAGGGACGAAGCGAGUGACGGUACCUGCAGAAGAAGCAUCGGCUAACUACGUGCCAGCAGCCGCGGUAAUACGUAGGAUGCGAGCGUUGUCCGGAAUUAUUGGGCGUAAAGAGCUCGUAGGCGGUUUGUCGCGUCUGCUGUGAAAACCCGAGGCUCAACCUCGGGCCUGCAGUGGGUACGGGCAGACUAGAGUGUGGUAGGGGAGACUGGAAUUCCUGGUGUAGCGGUGGAAUGCGCAGAUAUCAGGAGGAACACCAAUGGCGAAGGCAGGUCUCUGGGCCACAACUGACGCUGAGGAGCGAAAGCGUGGGGAGCGAACAGGAUUAGAUACCCUGGUAGUCCACGCCGUAAACGGUGGGCACUAGAUGUGGGGCUCUUUCCAUGAGUUCCGCGUCGCAGCUAACGCAUUAAGUGCCCCGCCUGGGGAGUACGGCCGCAAGGCUA
rnacentral:rRNA from 1 species